rnacentral:rRNA from 1 species
UACGGUAGGGGGCAAGCGUUGUCCGGAAUUACUGGGCGUAAAGCGCACGUAGGCGGAUUGUUUAGUUGGGGGUGAAAUCCCGGGGGCUCAACCCCGGAACUGCCUUUAAUACUGGCAAUCUAGAGUCCGAGAGAGGUGAGUGGAAUUCCGAGUGUAGAGGUGAAAUUCGUAGAUAUUCGGAGGAACACCAGUGGCGAAGGCGGCUCACUGGCUCGGUACUGACGCUGAGGUGCGAAAGCGUGGGGAGCAAACAGG